rnacentral:rRNA from 1 species
UACCGGCGGCUCGAGUGGUGGCCACGAUUACUGGGCUUAAAGCGUUCGUAGCUGGGUUGUUAAGUCUCUUGGGAAAUCUACCGGCUUAACCGAUAGGCGUCCAAGGGAUACUGGCAAUCUAGGGACCGGGAGAGGUGAGGGGUACUUCAGGGGUAGGAGUGAAAUCCUGUAAUCCUUGGGGGACCACCUGUGGCGUAGGCGCCUCACCAGAACGGCUCCGACAGUGAGGGACGAAAGCUGGGGGAGCAAACCGGAUUAGAUACCCUGGUAGUCCCUGAGCGGGCUGGCAAGG